rnacentral:rRNA from 1 species
CCUACGGGAGGCAGCAGUGAGGAAUAUUGGUCAAUGGGCGCGAGCCUGAACCAGCCAAGUAGCGUGAAGGAUGACUGCCCUACGGGUUGUAAACUUCUUUUAUAAAGGAAUAAAGUGAGGCACGUGUGCCUGUUUGCAUGUACUUUAUGAAUAAGGAUCGGCUAACUCCGUGCCAGCAGCCGCGGUAAUACGGAGGAUCCGAGCGUUAUCCGGAUUUAUUGGGUUUAAAGGGAGCGUAGAUGGGUUGUUAAGUCAGUUGUGAAAGUUUGCGGCGUAACCGCAAAAUUGCAAUUGAUACUGGCAGUCUUGAGUACAGUUGAGGUAGGCGGAAUUCGUGGUGUAGCGGUGAAAUGCUUAGAUAUCACGAAGAACUCCGAUUGCGAAGGCAGCCUACUAAACUGACACUGACAUUGAUGCUCGAAAGUGUGGGUAUCAAACAGGAUUAGAUACCCCGGUAGUC